GCUGGUUAUGCUGCGCUGGGUAGGCACAUGUGUUGUAAUGAGGCGAGUGCUGCACAUUUGGCAUGUGCGCAUGCGUCAUAGAUCCCAAGAUAUCAAGUAACUGUUACAUCAUUGCAAUGUAGCGUUGCAUUCCUACGUAGAUGGUAAAGUCAUUUGCGUUGUAAUCGGGAAAUGGAAGAUGCCUUAUUGGUGGUCGCCAGCAAGAGUAAGCCUGCAUUAAC